rnacentral:rRNA from 1 species
UACGUAGGGUGCGAGCGUUAAUCGGAAUUACUGGGCGUAAAGCGUGCGCAGGCGGUUCGUUAAGUUCGUCGUGAAAGCCCCGGGCUCAACCUGGGAAUGGCGAUGGAAACUGGCGGGCUGGAGUGCGGCAGAGGGGGGUGGAAUUCCACGUGUAGCAGUGAAAUGCGUAGAGACGUGGAGGAACACCGAUGGCGAAGGCAGCCCCCUGGGUCAAGAUUGACGCUCAUGCACGAAAGCGUGGGGAGCAAACAGG